CCUACGGGUGGCAGCAGUGAGGAAUAUUGGACAAUGGGGGAAACCCUGAUCCAGCGACGCCGCGUGAGUGAAGAAGUAUUUCGGUACGUAAAGCUCUAUCAGCAGGAAAGAAAAUGACGGUACCUGACUAAGAAGCCCCGGCUAACUACGUGCCAGCAGCCGCGGUAAUACGUAGGGAGCAAGCGUGAUCCGGAUUUACUGGGUGUAAAGGGAGCGUAGACGGCAGCGCAAGUCUGGAGUGAAAUGCCGGGGCCCAACCCCGGAACUGCUGUGGGAACUGGGGAGCUGGAGUGCAGGAGAGGUAGGCGGAAUUCGUGGUGUAGCGGUGAAAUGCGUAGAUAUGAGGAGGAACACCGGCGGCGAAGGCGGCUUACUGCACUGUAACUGACGUUGAGGCUCGAAGGCGUGGGGAGCGAACAGGAUUAGAUACCCCUGUAGUC
rnacentral:rRNA from 1 species